rnacentral:rRNA from 1 species
GGUUUCCCGGCAAUGCGUCGUCAGCCGGGAGUAAGCCGGUCCUAAGGCCGACCUUAACCGGGUAGGCCGAAGGGGAAACCGGUUAAGAUUCCGGUGCCUCCUGGAUAGGUGCGGCGACGCAAGCCAGGCUCCUGACGCCUCGGGUAGGGCCGAGCAGGGCUGUAGCUCUGUCUAACCCUCGAAGCCUGGGGAGGGCCGUAAUGGCGAGAACCAGGUGAAUGGGGGGACGGGGCGGCCGUAAGGCCGCUUCGGCCUGCUCCCGGGGCCAGUGAAAAGGGAGCCUGGAACGAUUCCAGGAGACCGUACCUAGAUCCGACACAGGUGCCCCUGGCUGAGAAGGCCAAGGCGUCUGGGGUUACUCCGGGCUAGGGAACUCGGCAAAUUAGCCCCGUAACCUCGGGAGAAGGGGUGCCUGCCUUCCUGCCCGGUGAGGGUGGGUUGGCAGGUCGCAGUGACAAGGGGGUCCCGACUGUUUAAUAAAAACAUAGGGAGCCGCCAGGCCGAAAGGCUUUGAACGGCUCCUCAAUCCUGGCCAGCACCGGUACCUGAACCCCGGGUCCAACCGGGAUAAGGGCCGGUCAACGCCGGGGGUAACUCUGACCCUCUUAACGGGGACCUGCCCACCAUCAAUGCAUAAAUUCCUGGCCAUCAGUCGAUGGUCAGGCUAUGAAUAUUAUGAAUUCGAUAAAGGCUACGUUAGCGGCGUAAUUGAUGCGGAAGCCAGCUUUUCAGUAAGCGUCAAAGUUCAGCGUGAUCUACUAUGCAAAGUGCGCGUCGACCCUGUUUUCAGAAUGACGGAGAGAAAAAGAGAGGUGCUAGAAAUUGUUCAGAGAGUUCUUCGAUGUGGUAGGAUAAUUCAAAAAACCUGGACAAAGGCACCUUUGGAUGCUCGUUGUAGACGAUUUAGAUGAACUCUCUCGAAAAUUAAUCCCAGCACUAGACGAGCUUAAGCUGGUUGCGAAGAAAUCAUCGUACGACUACUUCCGUGAGAUUGUUCUUAAACUUGCCGAGAAGAAAUACUCGCUGACCUGUGAUGAGAUCCGAGAACUGGUGAUAAUGGCUUACAAGCUUUCGGAUCUAAAUUUGAAAUCCUCUCGUAAGAGGUCAAUUAUUGAAGUUCUUUCCUUAAUCCCUGUUUCUGAUGAUUACAAGGUGGGUUAGGCCCCGGGAGAAAGGUAGCCAAAUGCCUUGUCGGGUGAGUUCCGACGUGCAUGAAUGGAUCAACGAGGGCCCCACUGUCCCGGCCCGGAGCCCCGUGAACCCACAUAACGUGGGCGAACAGUCCACGAACCCCCAGUGGGGAGAGAAGACCCUGUGGAGCUUUACUGCAGCCAGUUGCUGCGGAGCGGCUUGGGAUGCAUAGCGUAGCCGGGAGCCGUCGAUCCCAGCCUCUUCGGGGGCUGGGGGAGGCGCCAAUGUAACACCGGCCAUCCCGGGCUGCCCCGCUAACCAGGGCCUGACCCUGGGACAACGGCUGGUGGGCAGUUUGGCUGGGGCGGCACUCCUCCGAAAAGAUAUCGGAGGAGCCCAAAGGUCGGCUCAGGCGGGACAGAAACCCGCUGUAGAGUGCAAGGGCAAAAGCCGGCCUGACAGGACCCUCGAACGCAAGGGGUCCUGAGGGGAAACCCGGGCCUAGCGAUCCAUCGGCCCCUACCAGUGGGGGCCGGUGGUGACAGAAAAGUUACCCCAGGGAUAACAGGCUCGUCGCGGGCGAGAGUCCCCAUCGACCCCGCGGCUUGGUACCUCGAUGUCGGCUCUUCCCAUCCUGGCCUCGCAGCAGGGGCCAAGGGUGAGGCUGCUCGCCUAUCAAAGGGGAACGUGAGCUGGGUUUAGACCGGCGUGAGCCAGGUCGGAUUCUACCUGCUGGGGGUGCGGGCCGCCUGAGGGCAGGGUCCUCCUAGUACGAGAGGAACGGAGGGCCGGGGCCAACGGUGUACCGGUCGUCCUACAGGGCGACGCCGGGCAGCCGCGCCCCUGGGGAUAAGGGCUGAAAGCAUCUAAGCCCGAAGCCCCUCCCAAAAAUAGGCGGCCAAUCGGGGACUAUAGGGCCCGGCAACGGGCCUUGGUCCCCGACGAGGGCUCCCCUAGAAGAGGGGGUUGAUGGGGUGGGCGUGUAAGGGCGGAGGCGAAAGCCGGACGCCCUCAGCGCGCCACUCCCAAUCGCCCGAGCUGUCCGGGU